rnacentral:rRNA from 1 species
GCUCAGAUUGAACGCUGGCGGCAGGCCUAACACAUGCAAGUCGAGCGGAUGAGAAGAGCUUGCUCUUCGAUUCAGCGGCGGACGGGUGAGUAAUACCUAGGAAUCUGCCUGGUAGUGGGGGACAACGUUUCGAAAGGAACGCUAAUACCGCAUACGUCCUACGGGAGAAAGCAGGGGACCUUCGGGCCUUGCGCUAUCAGAUGAGCCUAGGUCGGAUUAGCUAGUUGGUGAGGUAAUGGCUCACCAAGGCUACGAUCCGUAACUGGUCUGAGAGGAUGAUCAGUCACACUGGAACUGAGACACGGUCCAGACUCCUACGGGAGGCAGCAGUGGGGAAUAUUGGACAAUGGGCGAAAGCCUGAUCCAGCCAUGCCGCGUGUGUGAAGAAGGUCUUCGGAUUGUAAAGCACUUUAAGUUGGGAGGAAGGGCAGUAAGCGAAUACCUUGCUGUUUUGACGUUACCGACAGAA